ACCCAGGUGGCCCUGGGGGCACCUAUUGCAGGAAGCAUGUGCCACAUUGCUUAUUAUCUACUGAGGCCAGGGUAAGAAAGACUGAGGUAAAGGGACUCAAGGACAUGCCAGGAAAGAUAGAAGACCAGAAACUUCCAAGAAUUGGAACAGACAGGGAGCACUGAAGCAGAGAAAAGGGAGAGAAGUUUCCACAAGCCAGCUAUGCUCUACUGCUCAUUGCAUUUGACAUGCUUCAUGAUGAGUGAGGGAUACAAUCUCUCCAACAGAGCCAUGCUAAGUGUGAACAAAUCAUCAUAAAAAGAAGCAGAUGUAUGCCUGGAUUCCUGGGGGCUGAUGAAGUAAUGAAUGGGCAGCCAGGAUAGAAAUGCUCUUAUUUCACUUAAGAAAUAUAUCCUGAGAAAAGUGACUGUUAUAUGACAUUUUCUAUCUCAACAGUGUGAAUGCAGACCAGAUGUGAGAUGCAGUGGUCUCCAUAAGACAUUAAAGGAAUCCACAAAAAGUGAUGUCUUUUUAUGUUUUAUCAAGGAUACUGGAUCAAGGCAUGCAUCAAGGCAGGUGCUGAGAUCCACUUGUCUUACUGCCACUCAAGACAAACUUCAUACCUAAGUUUCCUUCACUUAUUA